rnacentral:rRNA from 1 species
CUACGGGAGGCUCCAGUGAGGAAUAUUGGUCAAUGGGCGCGAGCCUGAACCAGCCAUCCCGCGUGCAGGAUGACGGCCCUAUGGGUUGUAAACUGCUUUUCUAUGCCAAGAAACCCUGUUACGAGUAACAGGUUGCCGGUAGCAUAGGAAUAAGCAUCGGCUAACUCCGUGCCAGCAGCCGCGGUAAUACGGAGGAUGCAAGCGUUAUCCGGAUUCAUUGGGUUUAAAGGGUGCGCAGGUGGGCUUGUAAGUCAGUGGUGAAAUGCUGCCGCUUAACGGUAGAACUGCCAUUGAUACUGCGAGUCUUGAGUAUGGUUGAGGUAGGCGGAAUGUGUUGUGUAGCGGUGAAAUGCAUAGAUAUGACACAGAACGCCAAUUGCGAAGGCAGCUUACUAAGCCAUUACUGACGCUGAGGCACGAAAGCGUGGGGAGCGAACAGGAUUAGAUACCCCUGUAGUC